GGUGUUGUAGCUCAGUGGCAGAUCACUAUGUCUUGCAUGCAUAAGGCACUGGGUUCAAAUCUCAGUACCACAU
rnacentral:tRNA from 1 species